GACGAACGCUGGCGGCGUGCCUAAUACAUGCAAGUAGAACGCUGAAGGAGGAGCUUGCUUCUCUGGAUGAGUUGCGAACGGGUGAGUAACGCGUAGGUAACCUGCCUGGUAGCGGGGGAUAACUAUUGGAAACGAUAGCUAAUACCGCAUAAGAGUAGAUGUUGCAUGACAUUUGCUUAAAAGGUGCAAUUGCAUCACUACCAGAUGGACCUGCGUUGUAUUAGCUAGUUGGUGAGGUAACGGCUCACCAAGGCAACGAUACAUAGCCGACCUGAGAGGGUGAUCGGCCACACUGGGACUGAGACACGGCCCAGACUCCUACGGGAGGCAGCAGUAGGGAAUCUUCGGCAAUGGACGGAAGUCUGACCGAGCAACGCCGCGUGAGUGAAGAAGGUUUUCGGAUCGUAAAGCUCUGUUGUAAGAGAAGAACGAGUGUGAGAGUGGAAAGUUCACACUGUGACGGUAUCUUACCAGAAAGGGACGGCUAACUACGUGCCAGCAGCCGCGGUAAUACGUAGGUCCCGAGCGUUGUCCGGAUUUAUUGGGCGUAAAGCGAGCGCAGGCGGUUAGAUAAGUCUGAAGUUAAAGGCUGUGGCUUAACCAUAGUACGCUUUGGAAACUGUUUAACUUGAGUGCAAGAGGGGAGAGUGGAAUUCCAUGUGUAGCGGUGAAAUGCGUAGAUAUAUGGAGGAACACCGGUGGCGAAAGCGGCUCUCUGGCUUGUAACUGACGCUGAGGCUCGAAAGCGUGGGGAGCAAACAGG
rnacentral:rRNA from 1 species